AAUCGUUCGCCAAGCAGUUACGCUCAUCCAGUAGGAACCCCUUGACAGAGGGCUACACACGGCCCUGGACGUAUGGUUGCCGAGGCAACGCGCGCCGGGUGGGCGGGAGCAGCGGCGGAAGGAGGCGCGCGGGCGGGGACGGAGGUGAGGCUGGCGGCGGAAGUGAGCCCUCCGCCGCUGCGAGCCUGGGCAUGAUGCUGCGUCGCGUGUGGCCGUGGCUGUGCUUCGGCCUGGGCAGCCUCCUGGCCGGGCAGGCGGAGGCCCCGAGCCCGGUGGAGCCGCCGGAGCGGAGCCGGCCGUACGCCGUGCUGCGUGGGCAAAACCUGGUGUUGAUGGGAACCGUUUUCAGCAUCCUGCUGGUGACCGUGAUCCUGUUGGCAUUUUGUGUCUAUAAGCCCAUUCGGCGUCGGUGACAGCCGAGCAAACCAGUCCUUCGACGAGUAUUUGGGAAAAGAGUAAAUUGUGUUGCACGUGGGUCACUGGAGAAGUCGGAAUCAGAAGCUUCCUGCUUGGAGAUGACCUUCGGUCGGGACAGUGGGUAAAUGUGAAAUGACUUAGAAAAAACAACUGGCAGUUAUUUUUUUUCCCUAACACUGUAAUGCACUGCAAUAAUUGGGUCUGCUGCUCAGUGUUUAUUUGUAUAUCUGGCUGCACUCACACUUGUGACGAGGAAGACCUGAAGCUCCAGGUUUCAGUGUGAAGACGGGAAGACAGUAACUAUGUGAGCAGUGUAAACCACACGGGGAAUGACGAAUGUUUGAAAAUACUCAUGAGAAGUAGACUUAACAUGUAGACAUUCCCUGCUUAAGAACCAUCUGGUCACAGCGGGGUUAAGAAUCACAUAUGUUUUUAAUAACACCGAGCUGGCCUAGAAUGUUCUGGUCCCAAAGCAGUGUGAGCUGUGGGGAACGUAGGCCGUCACUCCCCUGCUGCUGCAUCCGGCCAUGCACUCAGAUGCCCCCGUCCGGGUCAGGGUCACAUCACGUAGGCCCGUGACCGCGUGCACCCUGCGGCUGGGAGGCUCGGAGUCGGACUGGGAAGGUUGCUGGCCGGCCUGAAAGAGCUCCGUCCGCCCCGCGCACUGAUCUCCCUCGGGCUGCACUUACGUCCUUCUAGGUGGUGGCCUAAAACUUGUGGCAGCUUUUCAGAUUUGGAACCUAGAAGAAACUCAGCAGGACAUUGUCUUCGCCCCGGUGAGGAGGUCCUCCACCACCAGAAGCGCGUGUUCAUUGUAGGAGGCAGAGUGGCCGGUGUGUGUGUGUUUGCACAAAUCUUAACCUCGAAAACGCUGCUGUUUUGCACUGUUAAACUGGAUUUUCCCCCCAUUGAAAUGAUACUUGUAUACUCACAAAGUGGUUAUCAGUAUUUAUUUUAAGGGUGCUAAGUUUAAUUUUUGUUAUUAAACUGAAAUGCUUAUCUUCUACUUCGUUCAGUCACAGCACUGAUUUUUUUUUAACAAUCCGCACUAAACGUGAAAUAACUACUGUGGGGUACUGUAACUGUUCGACUUAAGGAUUCUGUUUGUGACACUGACAUUGAGCCAUUGAAAUGUUCACUGUUGUGUGCUUUUGAGCAAAGUGUCAAUUAAAAGUAAAACCUCGUA